AAAAAUAAGUGGGCAUGGUGGUCUUGCAUCGGAUUGCGAAGAGAGCGGUCUCCAUGAUCCCCGGCGGCAACGCCGGCUCCGUUCUCGGCAUCCACGUCUUCCACUGCCCGGACGCGGUGGGGAUCGUCGCCAAACUCUCGGAGUGCAUUGCGUCGAGGGGCGGAAACAUACACAGCGUGGAUGUCUUUGUCCCCGAGAAGAAGCAGGUCUUUUACUCGAGGAGUGAGUUUGUAUUCGAUCCUGCUCGUUGGCCUCGGGAUGUCGUGGACAAUGACUUCAACAAAAUAUCAAAGUUAUUCAGUGCAGAAAAAUCUGUUGUACGCGUCCCUGAUCUAGACCCUAAAUUUAAGAUUGCAGUUCUUGCUUCAAAGCAGGAACAUUGUUUGGUGGACUUGUUAUAUAGAUGGCAGGAGGGUAGACUUCCCGUGGACAUCAGUUGUGUUAUAAGCAAUCAUCAAAGAGCUCCUAAUACACAUGUUGCUCUCUUUCUUGAACGACAUGGGAUUCCAUAUCAUCACUUGCCAACAAGUGCUGGAAAUACAAGAGAAGCAGAGAUCCUGGAAUUGGUUGAAGAUACUGAUUUUCUUGUACUUGCAAGAUACAUGCAGGUACUAUCUAGAAGGUUUCUGGAGAGCUAUGGUAAAGAUAUAAUUAACAUUCAUCAUGGCCUUCUUCCAUCAUUUAAAGGAGGGAAUCCUUCGAAACAGGCUUUUGAUGCUGGGGUAAAAUUGAUUGGUGCAACAAGUCAUUUUGUAACUGAAGAACUGGAUGCUGGUCCAAUUAUUGAACAAAUGGUAGAGAGAGUUUCUCACAGAGACACCUUAAAAAGUUUUGUGCAGAAAUCAGAGAAUCUCGAAAAGCAAUGUCUCACACAAGUGAUAAAAUCGUAUUGUGAACUUCGAGUGCUACCAUAUCAAGUAAACAAGACUGUUGUCUUCUGACAAGCUUCCUUAAACUUCAUACUUAGAUCCCGAGGCUGAGAAGUUGUUACUAUGUUCAACUACAGCAAUACUUCAUCAUGCAUGGUAACACCAACUCCAUCUCUCUCUUCUUUGAUACACUUAAAUGUAUUUUGUGAAAGAACAAAGUAGACACCAAUUUCUUUUCUCAAAGAAUCAUGAAAUGUCAAAAUGCUUUCUAAAUUCCUUUUUUAACCAGUGCUUGAGAUCAAUUUACUGACAUUCAUAUUGCCCACUCCAGUAGUAAUGAUGAUAUUAUUAUUGUCCCUCUUUAUUGUUGCCCUAUUUAGUCCUUCAACCAGUCAAGAUUCAGAUCAGGUAUUCUUCAUUACUUGAGAUGCAGGUUUCAGAUAUUCCUCACAAGGAUAAAAGAGUGCAACUAAAAAUUUACAGAUGUAUUAUUAAUCUGCAAUCUGAAACUGCAGUGGAGCAUACAUCCUCCUGAUAUUUAGGUAAAAGCAAUGCAUAUCAAUCCUCUUACCAGUGCUAUAUCUUAAUUAGGAGGCAUAUAUCUAAGCGGCUCUGCAAUAACUAUUACAGAGAUCAAGUAGUUAUGUGAUCCACUUAUAAAGGUAUUAUAUACCAUCUUAAUCUGAAAUCUUAAGACUUGUAAGUAGAGAUGCAGCUUCCGAUAAACCUUUUCUGCGAGAAAGUGGAUCGAUUUUGUGGGAUGCUGUGUGUCUAUGUGAUCUGCUUAAACUGGAUUAGGCUGUGAGUAUGGGUAGAAUAAUGAGUAUUUUAAGGUAGAUUGAGUUUAGAUUGUAUUUAGAUAGCUUGUCGGGUUAAAGAACUGAUACGAUCAAUUACGUUUCCUCGAGACGGUUUCCCACGAAGCAAAGCGGACGUCUGUUAGAGAGAGAAAGGACUGUGCUUCUAACACCUCACUCAGUCCAUGGAAGAAAGAGAGAAAGAUAGAGAAGAAGAAGAAGAGACAGGUAAAGAGAACAUCGACCGAUGCGAUCGCUUGCACUUCCUGCUGUCAUUAAUUCCUCCAACGACCUCUUGUCCUCUUCCUCCAGCAUUCAGUCCUCACGGCAAUUCAGCCGUAAUUACUCUCUCUUUCUCUCCCUGGCCGAAGGAGAAGCUAAACGAGGACCAAAGGGAAGGUCUCCGUGAGGACGCGUAGAAUGAAUCAGAGCGUCAGCUUCUCCUGCUUCUGUUUCUGGUCUUGAGAGUUUCUCUUCAAAUGCACGAGGAAGAAGGAGAGUAGGAAUGGGUGGAGAAGCUGUGCCCAUGGAGGUGACGAAUGCAGGGCGCGUGGAUUCUGUCUCUAAGGUGUCAUAUACUCGUGUUUCGCAUCUUGGGCGUUCUAAAAGUGCCUCUGAUAGAUACUUGGAGUUGACCAAAUCCAGACCAAGUGUAAGGGUUCACAUAAUCUUUUGAAUAUACUGAAGUCUCAUGGAAGCCAAAGUUCUUAUAAUCAAGAUUCAAGUGAGAGUGCCAGACAAACCACAUUAAACAGUCGAUAUUCCUUGGAAGAUGAUAUUAAACAACUUCAGAUGCAUUUGCAUCAAGAAAACUCGUUUUCUGCUGGAGAAGGCGAUUGGUUGAGCUUCCAGUACUUUUAUCUCCUGGGCAUAGACAUUUUUCUGCUCAGAUAUAAGCUAAAUUUCUCCAUUGAUAUAAUAGUAUCUCUCAUGGUUCAUCGAACCACGGCAUACCGCUCGGUAUGGGCGGUACAUACCAGUCACCGAUAUGUAUGUCGAUAUACUCGAUAUGAUUCGGCAUAACUCGAUACAUACCAUACCAACAGCUAGUCGCUACAUUGGUACAAAUCGAUAAGGUGAGAACAUACACUAGAAAAGAAUGCCAUGGAGGAGCUGCAGAAGGCAAAGAGAGGAAUUCCUUCAAACCCAUGUACCGGUGAAGAAAUCAAGCAGAGUUUUUCUACCAAAGGUUCUUGAUAGAGAUGCAAGAGAAGCCUGUGUCAGGCUGGGACAAUCUUCUCAUAUGGGUGUCUAGAAACAUGGACAAGAAGCUGCCGGAGGUGAUCCACAAAUGUAUAAAUCCAAACAACAAGAGGAAGGCCUCACAGGUCAUUGAAUGGUUACCUUAUGAUACAAGAUUUCGCUAUGUCCUUGAAGAUGAACUGGUAGAGAAUCCUAGAUGAAUAUAAACAUCUUUUUUAUGACCCGUAUGAUGAUAAUACUUGCAAAAGGGCAUCAACUCUUAAAAACUACACACUGUUCCUUCGUAUUGAAAUGGAACAUUUCACUGUGAUGCUUAUUAGCUCAGUCAUUGUUUCAGCUUGUAUUACAUGUUUAGUUAACUUGACCUAUAUAUCAUUUAAAUGUAAGUUGAGUGGUGAUUUGA